CCUGGGCGUCGGCUUAGGCUGGCAACAGAGCAAGCAGAACUGGGCGCAGUCCGUCCCAUGACGGAAGU
rnacentral:SRP_RNA from 12 species